AUUUUAGUUAUUCUUGGGCUGAUUCCCCAAGAGAGCACGAAGUGCCUAGAGUA
rnacentral:tRNA from 1 species